rnacentral:rRNA from 1 species
CCUACGGGAGGCAGCAGUGAGGAAUAUUGGUCAAUGGCCGGAAGGCUGAACCAGCCAAGCCGCGUGAAGGACGAAGGUGCCAAGCAUUGUAAACUUCUUUUGUCAAGGGACAAAAUCAGGCUCGAGAGCCUGACCGAGGGUACGAGAAGAAAAAGCAUCGGCUAAAUCCGUGCCAGAAGCCGCGGUAAUACGGAGGAUGCGAGCGUUAGCCGGAUUUAUGGGGUUUAAGGGGGGCGAAGGCGGGCUGUUAAGUCAGCGGUAAAAGCCCGGGGCUCAACCCCGGCGAGCCGUUGAAACUGGCUGUCUUGAGAUGUCGAGAGGUAUGCGGAAUGCGCAGUGUAGCGGUGAAAUGCUUAGAUAUUGCGCAGAACUCCGAUUGCGAAGGCAGCAUACCGGCGGCGAUCUGACGCUGAGGCACGAAAGCGUGGGUAUCGAACAGGAUUAGAUACCCUUGUAGUC